AUUUCAAUAAGGUUGCAUAAUUUCUGUAGAUAUUUGGUUGAAUUUUACAUGAUAGCGAAAUAAUGAAGUAUUAUAGUCGUACAACGAUAUACACAAAAUUUUACUUGAUUGCUAGGUCAAAAUUCUAGCUAAAUUUCUAUUGGAUUUUGGCAAUAGUGACCUAAUUAAAACAAAAACGGAAGUUGAUUGAUUCUUUUAUGAGACAAAUUGAAGUUAGGUGACUAUAGUCUUAUUUGAAAUUGAGUUGUAAGUCUAGUGAGCAUGGAUAAAAUUAAGCCUAUGGUUGACAUAAAAUAAUUGUAGCUAGAUGUUUUUGUUAGAGAUUUGGGGAGCCUGCCUAGGGAGAAUAUUUUUUGAAGGGCCUUGUGAAAAAACACACUUUUGGACUUGACACCACAUUCAACCUAAAAUCUUAAGCAAAUGGGUGUAUGGGUCAUUCCCACUUAUACGUAUCUCACUUAUCCCAUUUUUUUCCGAUGUGAAAAUUUCAUACUUACGUAUUCCUAACAAUCUCUCCCUCAAGUGUGAAUCUCUUCUACAUUGGAUUUAUUGGGCCUGCUCCCCCUCGAAUGGAAAUUUUUUCUUGAGUAUUACGGUACCACCAAAAGCUCCAACUACUCCACCAAGCCUACUCGAGCAUGCACUUCUAAGAGCUACGCCAGAGCCAUCACGUGUACCAAGAGUCUUCACUCCAUCGGUCUGUUUUUCUCCAAAAGAAUGCUUUCCUACUCCAUUGGGCCUACCGGGAGUCUCUGACUCUUCCAUUCAUGUGUCAGACCACCACAGGAAUCAUCGACUACCGUUUUCAUACUCAUCCUUAUCGAACCAUUGGCUUUGAUACCUUUUGAUAGAGAUUUGAGGAGCUUAAAGCGCCUGAGGAGAAUAUUUCUUGAUGGGCCUUGUGAAAAAAAAAAAACACUCAUGAGUUUAACACUGCAUCCAACUCAAAACCUUAAAACAAUGUGUCUAUGGGUCAUUUCUGCUUGUAUGUCUCUUUUUUUCUAAUGUAGAAAUUUCGCACUUGCAUAUUCCCAACAGUUUCCUGACAUGUCAUGCUAAUAUCUGCAUCUCUCUUAAAGCUUAAUCCUAAUUGUAGAUAUUGAGUUGAUGUACUUCUGUUGCAACUUUGAAUAUCUUUGCCUUGAUGUUACUUUAGCAUAUUUUCGAAUUUGGUUGAUGGAGAGAUGCUUUUUUUUUUUAUUUGUUUUUGACAUUGAGUUGAAUAUUAGCACAUGUAACAUAAUGAAAGUGAGAGAAUGGUGAAAGUUUAUUGGUGGAAGGACGAGCAAUAUAUGGAGGUCUUUUCCCAUAAGUGAGAACCGCUAGUCAGCACUUUAGUUUGAGAAAUAUUGUGUUCAGUGCUGGAAUAAGCAUAUAGUUCAAGAAAAAAAAAAUACUCUUGCAACAACAACAACAAUAAUAAUAGAAGAGGUACUCUGAUUUUGGUUAUGCCAUUUGACGUGAUGAGGGCAAUUAAUGUGAUCAGAAAGGUGAAAUCAAGCAAAAUAGUGGUGAAAAUUUUUGAUUUUGGACUAUAUUUUCCAUUAGGUGUACAAGGCAUGGACUUUUCUUUUUUUUUAAUAAUUUCAUCAAAAUUUAUAGAGCGUCUUAUGUCCUAUGUGAAUAAAUAGUGUAAUCAAUUCUAUCACUUGCGCAAGCAUUGAAUUGAUGAGCAUGUGCACAUUAGAUUAUGGUGAUAUUUGCGCAUUAAAACACCAUACAAAUGUUUAAUGCAGACCCAUUUGGCUUUGUGAACAGGCAGAAAGUGCCAUUAUUGCUCUGAAUUGCAGUGGAAUGAUCUUGGGAAGCCAACCCAUCAGGGUAAGUCCAUCAAAAACACCUGUGAGGGCGCGAGUUGCUAGCAUAAAAUAGUGUUGAGAGUUUCAGAUCUAUGGAUGGAAUUUUGUUGAUUUCCCAGUUGAGAGGAAUUCCAUUGUGUUGAUGGGGUGGUGAAACGUUCUUUUGUUUCAGUGUUUCCAUCUUUUCCACAGCAACAGUUACUUUUUUCUGUGACUGAAACAUGUUGUAAACCUGCUUCAAACUGAAGUUUUUACAAGACUGUCUCAGUCUCGAUUUCUUUUAUCUUGUUCCAUCCAAUAUUUUGGAAAAUUCAAUUUUAUUAACUUUGAUAAUGUGAGUUUCAAUUAUCAUUCCUGGUUGCA